rnacentral:ncRNA from 1 species
GUCUGUUACCCGAAUAGUCUCCGUAUGGUGCGCGUGCCCUCCGAGCGAGUGUGCUAGGGCAGCAGACCGAA